rnacentral:rRNA from 1 species
UACGUAGGCAGCGAGCGUUGUUCGGAAUUACUGGGCGUAAAGAGUGUGUAGGCGGUGCUCUAAGUUCGGUGUGAAAUCUCCUGGCUUAACUGGGAGGGUGCGCCGGAAACUGGAGUGCUUGAGCGUGGGAGAGGAAAGCGGAAUUCCUGGUGUAGCGGUGAAAUGCGUAGAUAUCAGGAGGAACACCUGUGGUGUAGACGGCUUUCUGGACCAUAGCUGACGCUGAGACACGAAAGCGUGGGGAGCAAACAGG